GCUCCUUUCCUCACGAUUUUCCCAUUUCUCUCUCUGUUCUAUCUUCUCUGCUAUCCUUCGUUGCCAUUGAUUCCAUUCUGUUCAACGGUGGAUAAGGACGCGGCCUUUUUCCGUUAGUUGCAUCUCGCGUGCCAUUGAUGACGUGGAUUCUCCUGCCACGUCAUUUCCCGCCAUUCUCCCCCUUCUGUUUUUAACUUUGAAGCCCUAAACCUGCAUCUCUCUCUCUCUCUCUCUAAGGAAGAUGAACUCUCUCUCUCUCUAGAAGGAGCAGAUUUCUAAUCUCUAAUCUCUACGAAGGAGAAAGUGCAGAAGAAGAGAAGGGUGUCUCAGUAAAAACCCCAAUCCCCAGUACUGCAGUUUCUUAGGAAAAAGGAGAAAUGGGUGACUCGGAAACGGUUGUUAAGACCCCAAUAAGAGUUACUCGAUCUUCUUCUUCCUCAACAACAACAACAACAACAACAACCCCUAAACAAAACUCGCCUCAAAAGCCAAAACCUGGCUCUCGAUCUUUGAAGAAUACCAAAGCGUCAUUUUCAGAUUACCUUCUAUUCCCAAAACCCAUUACACUUGACCAGUUAUAUAGUAGUUAUCCCUGCCGAAAGGCUCAGAUCGAUGAACUGUUGCACCUAAUUGGACCCCCCAAUUCACCCAUGAAACCCAUUUUCAUCUAUGGCCGCCCUUCCUCGGCAAAAACCAGUGUCCUUUUACAUGUUUUCAAGCACCUGAACCGUCCUUUUGUUUACUCAAGCUGCAAAUCUUGCUACAAUCCUCGCCUCUUGUUUGAGUCGGUAUUGAACCAGGUGUUUUUCCAUGGAAAACAGAGUACCAACAAUUAUGCCAGUGCCAAAAGGUGUGAAAAGGCCUCAGAUUUCAUGAAUUUUCUUAGAGAAGCAUUGGUCCACACCAUUGCCACAAUUAGAGAGAACCAAAGACCCAAAGGGUCAAAGAAUUCUUUGAAUUGUGGGGCUGGGGAGAUGAUUUACUUGAUAUUUGACAAUGUCGAGAUGAUUCGGGAUUGGGAUAGUGGUUUGGCUCUGGUUUCCGUGCUGUUUAAGAUGGGCGAUCUUCUCAAGAUGCCAGAAUUGGGGUUGGUUUUUAUUAGCAGCGCCAGUUUAGACAGUUUUUAUGGGAAUACUGGAUUAAUGGAGCUAGUGCCCGUCUUCUUCCCGAGCUAUACAGAUGAGGAGCUGUAUCAGAUCUUCAUGAGAGGCCAACCAAACCCCAAGCUCUAUUCUUCUUUUCUUGGUGUUGUUUUGAAGACCUUAUGCCGGCUCACCAAAAGAGUAGAUGAAUUGUCGGUUGCCUUGGUGCCGUUAUUUCGGAAAUAUUGUGAGCCUCUGAGUGAUUUGAGAGUGAUUCCUGAUGAAGCAAUGAAGCGAAAAUUGUUCUCUUGCCUUCAACCCCACAUAAUGCCAUCUUUGAAUCAAGUUUUCAAGGUUGAAUCAGGAACGAUUGUUGAGACCAACAAGGAGAAGGAAAAAAGGAAGGGGAUUUUGAGAAAACAAGGCAGUGGGGAAACUGUUUAUGAGGUGGAUUUUCAGAUGUCUGACUCUGCAAAGUAUUUGCUUAUUUCGGCUUUCAUUGCUUCGAAAAACCCUGCCACUCUUGAUGCAGCAUUAUUUGAUUCAACUGGAGGGUCUGAUAAUAGAAAAAGGAAGAGAAAGAGUUCUGUGACUUCCAUUGAGAAGAAGGAUCAGGCUGCACAGGAAAUGCUACUAAAGGGGCCAGGGACUUUUCCAUUGGAGAGAUUGCUUGCUAUAUUUCAGUGCAUCACUUCAGUAACAGAUGGUCCUAUAGAGAGAGAGCAGGUUGAGGAUGGAUUGACUGAGGAAGUUGGAAGUUGUGGGCUCAUGUCUGAUGUUCUAUUGCAGUUAUCUACUCUUUGCAAUGCUAAUUUUAUUUGCAAAGGAGGAAGCUGCCCACUUGAAGGUUCAACUCGUUAUCGGGCCACAAUUGAUGAAGACAUGGUUAUGAAGAUUGCAAGGAGCGUGAACUUUCCUCUAGCAAAGUACCUUUACAGGCGAUAGUUUUGGGGCUGCAAAACUGAGGUUUGGACUGGAAGGGGGUUACUAGUUCUUGAGAGCUAAUUUUUAUGUGAUGAGGCCUAUGUGAAUGCUUGGAAGAAAUGGUUCAGAAGGCAUAAUGCAGCCAAGGAUGACUUGCCGACUAAACUCCCAGUUUUGCUGCUUAUCUCAAAGCAAAGGAAAGGUUUGGAACGAAGUUGGCAAGUUGUCUUUGGCUACAUAAUUACAUUCUGAUUUCUCAUGCCAGGUCCAUGAUGAAAACAAUGCACACACACCCCAUCAUGUAGCACCUCAAGGAAGAAAAUCAGCUUCUCUUCUUCAUUAAACAUGGUAAUCUUCUCCCUCUAUUUCCUAUCCACUCAUAUAAUAACUUCCACCAAAUGCAUUAUCGUAAUAGUUAAAUCUUGAUAUCAAAUCUUAAUAUUUUUUUUUUUUUUUUCUUUCUUUCAAAUGAUGGGUUGUUAUGAUGGGUUUCUAAUUGUUCAUAUCAUGUGUUUUUAUGAGCUAAUUCUAGAGCUAGUACUGCUUCUAUAGAUAUAAUCUUUGUUGGUCAUAGAGGUAUGCAUUAUUUAUCUUAGACAUUUUAAAAAUUGGGAUUUGGGGCUGAUUUCUUUCAUCUAAAAAUGAAUCUGAUGGGUUUGAUGCUGGUUUUCACCAAUUUUCUAAGAAAUGACUCUAAUUUGAAAUAGGAUUCUCUGAUCGGUAUGGUCGAGAAUGAUUGGUAUCGUGAUAUUUUCCGGCAAGUUGAUGUUAUGGGAUAUCAUGGGUGACUUUUUUUUAUCUUAAAAUUUGAGUUACUUUAUCAUAUACAUGUAAAGGAAGAAAUAUUUUGGGAGUCACUUAAGUUUUAUGAUAAGCAAGAAUAUGGAGAAAACUUAUAAGAUACAAUCAGAUGUUAAUAUAAAUAAAAAUAUGGAGAAAAAAUUAUGAGAUACUAUCAGAUGUUACUACAAAUAAACAUUUUUUUUUGUCAUGAUUUUAUAUGAGUAAAAAAGUAUUAGACAGAUAUCCCAUUAAGCUAAGCUUUCUUAAGAUCUUUUAGUGAGAUUUUAUGUGGUUUCUUGGUUUAUAUAUUUCUUCUAUUCUUCAUUAAUGAAACACUCAUUUAUUUAUCAGCCAUUUUUUUAAUGGAGAGGGGGACAGGGUAUGUAUUUUAUCUCAAUAAUGAGUGGUCUCUUUAUCAUUUAACCACAAUUAGUGCAGCAAGCAAUAUAAACUAAACAUGCAACCAUUCCAAUGUAAUAUGUACGUUACUAUAGGUUUUUGUGCACUAAUGAAACGCUACAAUUAUUUAAAUACAAUGCCUUUGAGUUGUUAAACUAAUUUUAAUCUAUAAUUUAUCAGAGCAACAAUCCCAAAAAACUAGACCUAUUAUUAUUAUUAUUGUUAUAAAAAAAUUAGUUUUUUUUUUUUUAUCUCAUUUUUCUACUCAUUUAACGCUCGUCUUUCAGGCUGCAUUUGUGACAUGGGCAUCUCUUAAAGGUUUAUACACGACUUUCAAUCCCCAAUUUCAUUUUCCAAUAUUGUGUGUGAUCUAUUCUAUAUUGGUUUCUUUAAAUGUAGACUGUACCACUUUAGGAAAAUGAUGCAUUUUGGGUGCAUAUUUUAUUUUGGAUCAUUGCCUUAAUUUAAUGCAUCCCCCAUUACAAUUUUGGUGCAAAGAUAAUGAUGUUGUUUUGUAUAUGUCAUUUGGGUUCAAAUUCUAAGAAUCCAUGGAUAUGUUAUCAUACCAAACGCAUGAGCAAUUUGUAAUUUUGUGAGAGUUUUGAAACCCUAAGUUGCUAUUAUGGCAUGCAAACAUGUGAAUAUUCAAGCAUGUAUGUAUACAUGCUCGUAUUCAUUCCUGGAAAAUUCAUAUUCAUUAAGAGAUAUUAUGGCUUCAUCUCUUGGAUUUAUCAAUAUAUAAUAUGAGUUCCAAAUGGUUCAAUACAUACCCUCUCCAUACACAUACAUACUUUCUUUCCAAACUGAAAAGGAGAUGAGUCUCUCUCUCUGUCUCAUUCCCCCUCUAUGAGAGAGAGAGAGAGCCAUGUGGCUAACAGUAGCAUUCUCCAAAGUGCUGUUUUUGAGGUUAAAUGGUUGUUAAAGCCUAAAAAAUGCAAGAAAAUAAAAACUCAUCAAAGUAAGUUUAUUUAGUACAUAUGUAACUGGUAAUAUGAUUCAAGUUUCACAUUUCCCUUAAUUGUAAAGCUUUAGAAAAGAAGAGAGUGAAAAAAGAUUUAUCACUGCUCUAGCCAUCACUCUUCAAUCUUAACUGCAUGAAUUGAAACUCUCAUUAUAAAUAAAAGAGAAGACCUAUUAUUGCUAUUUUUGUUUUCUUACUUUAAUUGUGUCAAUUUCCCAUGAGUUUCCCCUAUGUUAUGGACCCUAGCCUACUUUUGAACAUGAAAUAAUGGAUAUGAUAUAAUAGUUUUAGCUCGUCAACUCUAGUUGGUACCUUGAAGUGGGUGAAUAUCCUAUAAUGAAAAAAAUGACUUGGUUUUCUUCACUUAACUGUUUAAACAUAUUUGGGAACUAUACCAUUCUAUGAAAGUGGAAGCUGACUCACAAAUUCUUCCUCUCUUAGUUUCAUAAAAGUGGAAUAUGUACUUUUACCUAUCUUUAGUGACGAUUGUCUUUGAGAGUUGCACCCAAAAUAAUUAUAGAAAGAAACUUGGGGAAUAUUAUAGCAUGGAGUAAAGAAGAAGCCAAUAUGUCAUGGAGGUUAACUUCAAUUUUUCAUGAGAUUCGGGAUAUUCUACCUUCAUUGAAUGCGGAACUUCGCCACAAUUAUAAGGAGGCUAAUAUGGAAGCUGAUGCUUUAGUCAAGGGAGGUGUUAACCAUGCUUCGUUGGUGGUCACUUAUUUCCAGUGAUCUCUUUUGUUUCCUUUCAUCCUUUGUAAUUCUCUUUGAUUAAUGAAAAUUUUGCGUUAAUGUUAAAAAAAGAAAAGAAAAAAGAGUUGCACCCAAAGAGAGGUGUUAACCAUGCUUCGUUGGUGGUCACGUAUUUCUAGCGAUCUCUUUU